rnacentral:rRNA from 1 species
GACGAACGCUAGCGGCGUGCCUAAGCUAUGCAAGUCGAGCGGGGUUUCAGAGUCGAGUUUCCUUCGGGAGACAAAGCACUGAAACCUAGCGGCGAACGGGUGAGUAACACGUGAGCAACCUACCCUGUUGUCCGGGAUAACAGACCGAAAGGCCUGCUAAUACCGGAUACGAAGCUCCUUCGCAUGUUGGAGCUUGGAAAGGGGCAACCCGCAAUGGGAGGGGCUUACGGCCUAUCAGCUAGUUGGUGAGGUAACGGCCCACCAAGGCGACGACGGGUAGCCGACCUGAGAGGGUGACCGGCCACACUGGGACUGAGACACGGCCCAGACUCCUACGGGAGGCAGCAAGCGGGAAUCUUGCACAAUGGGCGCAAGCCUGAUGCAGCGACGCCGCGUGAGGGAUGAAGGCCUUCGGGUCGUAAACCUCUGUUGAUGGGGACGAAGAU